ACGGUGUACGGCCACCUCGCCGUCGCGGCCACGGCCCCUCUCCUCGGCGAGCACGCCGCCGCCCGCGGCGGCGGGAUAUCCCCUGUAGAUGACCACACGGUGAUCGUCUCCGCCGGCCCGGGACGACUUCCACGGCGAGCCAGCGGGGAUAAUGACAGCUGGAAUUUUUUAGCGUCUCCUGGCAGCAGUCUCUCUCUGAGCAUUGAAGUAGACAGCAGCGACAGGAAGGCCAAGUUCGUUCUCCUCAGCAAACUGGCGUGUAUUGAAAUGAUCCCUAGAGGAUGGCACAACUACAGCCUGCCUACGCUUCUGCUUGAAGAGCACAAAAACGAACCUGUGGAUACCAAUGCUGGGCUUUGGGCUCUCAUAGCUUAUGAUUUCCCGUCCUGCAAUUCAAAUGCCAGAAAGAUGCAUAUUAAGAACAAAUACAUGCAAGCAUGGAAUGAUCUAAUGCAGGUUAGGGAGAGGACCUACCAAAAGAGGCAUCCGUUGUUCCAGGUUACUAUCAUCUUCGUACAUGGGUUGAAUGAAUCAAUAACUUCUCCGAUCACCCGCCCAACAACAAGAGGCUCCACAGACCUAGACAUGGUUGGAGCCUUGGAGGGACAGAUGCACUCUACACUGUCUGCGUGGAAGCCUAUCAACCCCCAAAUGUUUGUCGUUAGCAGCCUUGUUUGUCUGGACUAGCAGUGCACCUUUAGCUUGGUGUGCUGACUUGUCACUAGUGGUCAGGACAGGCGUGCAAGGUCAGCUGUGAGUUAUCAUUGUAUUUCUUAGACGAAUAUUUCUUCAGCUGUUUUGUAACAGACAGUGAUGUUUUCUGUUUGCUGUCAAAAUUGUUAUUGGGUAAAAAGGAGACACCCACUGAGCCAGAAGAUGCACAAUGAAGGUGAACAAACAGAUUUGCUGCUCAAAUUCAGAGCACUUGGCAGUUCGCACAAGUGAAAGAGGUUGUUGCUGGUUCAGGUAAUCAGGUCCCAGUUUUGGGCCGUAUAUGAGCCCCUGACAAGUUGUCGACAUCGAUGAGAGA
rnacentral:lncRNA from 1 species